rnacentral:rRNA from 1 species
ACCGGCAGACGAGAUAGUAAUAAGUAGGUACGAACCUCAAAGUCAGGAAUAGCCAGUCGAAAGACUGGGUAAUACUUGAUAUCCCGCAAGGGGAAAGAUUUAUCGCUUUGAGAUCGGCCUGCUCGGUAUCAGCUAGUUGGUAGGGUAAUGGCCUACCAAGGCAAUGACGCCUAGGGGGGGUGAGAGCCUGUUCCCCAUCGAUGGAACUGAGACACGGUCCAUACACCUACGGGUGGCUGCAGUCGAGAAUAUUCCGCAAUGGGCGAAAGCCUGACGGAGCGACGCCGCGUGCAGGAUGAAGUGCUUCGGUAUGUAAACUGCUUUUGUAGAUCAGAAAGUUUAUUGAUCGAUCUAAGAAUAAGAGGUUGCUAAACUCGUGCCAGCAGCAGCGGUAAUACGAGUGCCUCGAGCGUUAUCCGGAAUCAUUGGGCGUAAAGGGUGUGCAGGCGGUCUUGUUAGUCUUCUGUUAAAUUCUUCGGCUUAACCGGGGGCAAGCGGAGGAUACGGCAAGACUUGAGGAUGCGAGAGGUUAACGGAACUCAUAGUGUAGCGGUGAAAUGCGUUGAUAUUAUGGGGAACACCAAAUGCGAAGGCAGUUAACUGGAGCACUCCUGACGCUGAGACACGAAAGCGUGGGUAGCGAAUGGGAUUAGAUACCCCAGUAGUCCACGCCCUAAACCAUCUUCUCUAGAUUUUCGGA